ACGGCUGAGUAACGCGUGGGAACGUGCCCCAAAGUGAGGGAUAACUGCUCGAAAGAGUAGCUAAUACCGCAUAUGGUCUUCGGAUUAAAGCUUCGGCGCUUUGGGAGCGGCCCGCGUCAGAUUAGAUAGUUGGUGAGGUAACGGCUCACCAAGUCGAUGAUCUGUAACUGGUUUGAGAGGAUGAUCAGUCAGACUGGAACUGAGAAACGGUCCAGACUCCUACGGGAGGCAGCAGUUAGGAAUAUUCCACAAUGGGGGCAACCCUGAUGGAGCAACGCCGCGUGGAGGAUGAAGGCCUUCGGGUUGUAAACUUCUUUUCUAUGCGAAGAAUAUGACGGUAACAUAGGAAUAAGGGUCUGCUAACUACGUGCCAGCAGCCGCGGUCAUACGUAGGACCCAAGCGUUAUCCGGAUUGACUGGGCGUAAAGAGUUGCGUAGGUGGUUUGUUAAGCGAAUAGUGAAAUCUUGGGGCUCAACCUUAAGGCUAUUAUUCGAACUGGCAGACUCGAGAAUGGAAGAGGUAUCUGGAAUUUCUCAUGUAGGGGUAAUAUC
rnacentral:rRNA from 1 species